AAAACGUAUUUCGGAUUUUGUGUUUGUCAUCAGAGACGUGUUAUCUACGUCUCUGUUGUCAUGCAUCAUUAAAAGCAUCGAUAGAAAUAAAAGUAAUCGCUUUUGUCAACAUUCGAUUUAGUAAAUCGUGUUUAUGGGGACAGUGUUUAGCAAUCGAUGCAAUCGUUUAAAAAAGUGUGAUUUAAAAUCAAAAAGAUAAACGGAUAGAAUAGCAGAAAAAGGAAUUACAAAUCUCUGUGUUAUUUUGUUAUUAUAAAAACGGAGUAGGGUUGUCAUCGAGGGGGCGGGGCGGGCUGAGUACUCUGAGCAGUCCCAACCUGUCCUGUAUGGUGACCAUCAACCAAGCUCACAUGCUUCCGGGAAGUUGAAUUGCACCCGGGUCGCCGAAGUGAGAAGCGCAUGUGCCAACCACACCGCUAACCGAACAGCCCCACGAGUACACGUUAAAAGGUUGAAUCAUACAAUAUUUGCUACUGCAAGUAACACCAACUCACCAUCAUCGUCCACCUCCCGUAUGAUGCUACGUAUUUCCGCUUCCGGUAUACACUGGCCCUGCACCCGGAAGGCGUUUGACAGCUCCGAUGCGGAGAUUCGCCCGUCCCCGUUCCGGUCAAACAUCUGGAACGUCUUCCGCAGCUCUGAAAUACAAAAUAGUCGUCUAAGCUAUACUUGCUUAGGCAAAAAAGAAUUUGCCUGGAAUUUGUCAUGUUUUGAAAUCGAUUCCAUUCAAAUAAAUUCUUAGAAUGUUUAGUUUCGAAUCUUUAUAUACAUUUUUUGAUUAUUAAAUUGCUGUAUCUUAACUUGUAACGGAUAAUUAUGUAGUUAUUUUUCAUUAUGUAUUAAUUAAUAUACACUUUUUAUAUCGGUUAAAUAUGAACAUUGAAACACCAACGUUUUAAUUAAAGAUGUUUAACCUAUAUGCAAAAAAGUACAAUCAGAGAUUAGUUGAAUUCGAUAAACAAUCGAUAAUUCGAUGCAUCUUAAAAUUUCAUUGCAUCUCUUAAUGACCAUUUUUCCCAUUCAUAUGUUUUUAAAAUGAUGUGAAAAGUAUGAUGUAUGACAAAAAAGAUAAUACAAAGCUCUUCGCCAUGCUAUUCAUCAAGCUUUAAUGUGUUCAACUAUUUAAAUAGCUCCUUUAUUUAAAACAUUCAACACAAUUAUACUGGAAAAAACAAAGCCUGCCAGCUGACAUCAAUAUCACGUGAGUCGCUUUGUGGGAAAACCGUGCUUAAUGCAUGUGUGUAAAGUAUCUUUAAAGAUUAGCCUGUGCAAUCCGAAAAGGCUAUCCAGGGACAACACUUUCCUCUUUCAAUUUUUUUUUUCAAAUUUUAAUGAAGUCACUUUUUAGCGGAAAGGUAUUCUAGGCGGAAAGUGUCGUAAUUGAUUAGCCAGUGCGGACUAAACAAGCUAAUCUGAGACGAAACUUUACCAACAUGUUCAGAUUUUCCAGAACGAAUCUCACGUUUAAACACUAUACAACAUAAUAAAAUCAUAUAGUUACUAGCAUAACAUGUAUGGCAAUAUAUACGAUUAUUUGUUUAAAUACCGAUUACAACUUAUUUUGAUUUACUUUACAUCACACUUUUUUCUUAGCUUAUGGCAAUAAACAAUAAACAAUACACAAUAAACCCAAAACAAAUAAAAGCGUUAAAACUCUUUAAACAAAUGCGAAGUUUGACAAUAUUAUUAAGUGGUACUACAAUUUCAUAGUGUAUGUGUAAGGCUGCUCAUUAGUAAUGUUCGUCUUGUAUUGUUUCCCUACCUUUCAGCUCUUUACUGGAGAGUUUCUUCGCCUGUAAAAUAUAUUAGAAAUCAUACAGAAAUAUCAGCAUGAUGGAAUCAAAUAUUUGGCUUUUAUAUGUCUCAUUAAAUUUAUGUUGAAAAGA